rnacentral:rRNA from 1 species
AUGACCGGGAGCAAGGACUUGGUGGUGGACAUGCAAAAGAUCCCAUCUAUGCCCACCAAUGCCGAGUGGGGUGAUGCCUCACAUUCCAAGGUAUUGGGUCUUGGCAAGGUUGUCAUUUCUCAUGAUCUAACGAUCGAGAAAGUCAUGCUUGUUGAGUCCCUUGCGUUCAAUUUACUUUCCGUUUGUCAACUUGCACUCAUGGGAUUUGCCACCUUCUUUGAUAUUGAUACCAUGGCCCUCUUGUGGAGCAAGACUCUUAAAGUAGUCUUUGUUGGGCAUGUCGAGAACGGUCUCUAUGUGAUUAACUUUUUGGAGCAACCCACUAAGAUCGCGACAUGCCUAAUGGCUAAAGUUGAUGUGGGAUGGCUUUGGCAUCUCCGUUUAGCCCACAUCAAUAUAAGAUCUUUGCAAAGUCUUCUGAAGGGGGACCAUGUCCAUGGACUAACAAAUGUUAGUUUUGCCAAAGAUCUUGCUUGCAGUGCUUGUAUCGAAGGAAAGCUUCAUGAGACGGCUCACCCUCCCAUGACUAUCAUCUACUCGAAGAGACCCUUGGAGCUCCUGCACAUGGACCUCUUUGGGCCUCCAUCCUUUGAUAGUCUUGGGGGUAGAAAGUAUUGCUUGGUGAUUGUGGAUGAUUAUUCAAGAUACACUUGGGUGUACUUCUUCAAGAGGAAGAGUGAGACUCAACAAACUGUCAUCGACUUUGCAAAUGAAGCUCAACAUCAACAUAAUGCAAAGAUCUUGACAAUAAUAAGUGACAACGGCACCGAGUUCAAAAACUACACCUUGGAUGAGUUUCUUAGUGAUGAGGGGAUCAAGCAUCAAUAUUCUGCACCAUAUACCCCUCAACAAAAUGGUGUUGCGGAGAGGAAGAACUGGACCUUGAUGGAUGCGGCAAGGACCAUGAUGGCGGAGUUCAAGUCUCCAUACAACUUUUGGGCCGAAGCCAUCAACACCGCAUGUCAUGCAUCCAAUCGGCUCUAUCUCCGCAAAGGCUUGAACAAGACCCCUUAUGAGAUACUCACAGAAAACAAGCCCAAUCUCAAGUACUUUCGGGUGUUCGGGUGUAAGUGUUUCAUUCUCAAGAAAGGUGUUCGUUUUUCUAAAUUUGAGGCUAGAGCUUAUGAGGGCAUAUUUGUUGGUUAUGCUACAAGCUCUCAUGCUUACCGUGUUCUCAACAAGUCCCCGGACUCAUUGAGGAGACGUGUAAUGUGGAGUUUGACGAAAAUAACGGCUCCCAAGUGGAGCAAAGUGGUACUUGUGAUGUAG